rnacentral:rRNA from 1 species
UUCUAAGGGCGUUGAAGCAUGAUCGCAAGGACAUGUGGAGCGCUUAGAAGUGAGAAUGCCGGUGUGAGUAGCGAAAGACGGGUGAGAAUCCCGUCCACCGAUUGACUAAGGUUUCCAGAGGAAGGCUCGUCCGCUCUGGGUUAGUCGGGUCCUAAGCUGAGGCCGACAGGCGUAGGCGAUGGAUAACAGGUUGAUAUUCCUGUACCACCAUUAUUCGUUUUAAGCGAUGGGGGGACGCAGUAGGAUAGGCGAAGCGUGCUGUUGGAGUGCACGUCCAAGCAGUGAGAUUGAGUGUUAGGCAAAUCCGGCACUCUUAAGAUUGAGCUGUGAUGGGGAGAGGAACUUGUUCCUCGAGUCGUUGAUUUCACACUGCCGAGAAAAGCCUCUAGCUAGAAUAACGGUGCCCGUACCGCAAACCGACACAGGUAGUCAAGAUGAGAAUUCUAAGGUGAGCGAGCGAACUCUCGUUAAGGAACUCGGCAAAAUGACCCCGUAACUUCGGGAGAAGGGGUGCUCUUUGAGGUUCACGCUUCGAAGAGCCGCAGUGAAUAGGCCCAAG